UAAAUAACAAGCUACUUCUCUGAGGACCAACACUCACAGCGUGUCCUCUACAGAUCAACAACAACAGCCUCAAGUGCACCGACCAUGGCACUGCCGUGUGGUAGAGUCUUCAGCAUUGGAGAGAUCAUUUUCACGUGCAGGGACUGUGCCACAGGACCUAACUAUGUUUUCUGUGCCGACUGUUUCCAGCACAGCAUACACACACGCCAUCGGUACCAGGUGCGACUGUGUCCCUUCUAUGGGCUAUGAUAUGACAUUACAUUACAUUACUGUACAUAACAUUACAUUACAUCAUAUGAAAUUACAUUUAACUAUAUUACAGUACAUCACAUUGCAUGAUGACAUUACAUGACAUGAUGACAUGGGGUUAACAAAAACCAAAGGUAACAAACUUUGGUCAUUUUGCUUGGAGUAAAAAACGAAUUCCUAAU